AUUGAACGCUGGCGGCAGGCCUAACACAUGCAAGUCGAGCGAGCGGCGGACGGGUGCGUAAUGUCUGGGAAACUGCCUGAUGGGGGGGGAUAACUACUGGAAACGGUAGCUAAUACCGCAUACCAUACGAUGUGCCCAGAUGGGAUUAGCUAGUAGGUGGGGUAACGGCUCACCUAGGCGACGGUCCCUAUCUGGUCUGAGAGGAUGACCAGCCACACUGGAACUGAGACACGGUCCAGACUCCUACGGGAGGCAGCAGUGGGGAAUAUUGCACAAUGGGCGCAAGCCUGAUGCAGCCAUGCCGCGUGUGUGAAGAAGGCCUUCGGGUUGUAAAGCACUUUCAGCGGGGAGGCGUUACCCGCAGAAGAAGCACCGGCUAACUCCGUGCCAGCAGCCGCGGUAAUAC
rnacentral:rRNA from 1 species